rnacentral:rRNA from 1 species
UACGGGGGGGGCAAGCGUUGUUCGGAAUUACUGGGCGUAAAGGGUUCGUAGGUGGCCAACUAAGUCAGACGUGAAAUCCCUCAGCUUAACUGGGGAACUGCGUCUGAUACUGGUUGGCUUGAGUGCAGGAGAGGAACGCGGAAUUCCAGGUGUAGCGGUGAAAUGCGUAGAUAUCUGGAGGAACACCGGUGGCGAAGGCGGCGUUCUGGACUGCAACUGACACUGAGGAACGAAAGCCAGGGGAGCAAACGGG